ACGUACGACCAUAGCCUCUAGAAAACUCGGGAUCCCGUUUGAUCUCCUCGUGAUAAGCUAGAGAGCGCCAAAUCAGUAGUCGGGUCGGUGACGACCGGCGAAUCCUUGGUGUUGUACGUU
rfam:Fungal sp. No.14919 DNA, contig: Contig0006.